rnacentral:rRNA from 1 species
AGUCAAUGCUCGCAAGAGUGAACUAGCUAACUGAAAUCCUUGGUGUGUCAUCGAGGAUAACGUAAGGGAAAAUAAUGAUACCACCUUACUAUUAGUGUCGUCCAAAUGCUCGUGCCAGAAGACUCGGUAAGGCGAGAGACGCAAACGUUAUUCGUCUUGAUCAGGCGUAAAGGGUUUGUAGGCGGCUUUAAGUAUCCAAUUUUAAGUUUACUAUUAUAAUACUAUAAGUGUUAUAAUAUUUAUUAAAGGGUCAAUUAAAGCUAGAAUCUAACAGAGGUUAAAACAAUACUUAAGGUAGGUGUACUAACCAUAAAUAAUAAGCAGAGUGUUAAGGGCGAAGGCAUUUAUCCACUGAAGAUUGACGCUGAGAAACGAAGGUGAGGACAGAAAAAAGGAUUAGAGACCCUUGUAUCCCUCACUGUCAACGAUGAAUGGUAGUUACUAGGGAGAAAUAACCUAGAGACGAUGUUAACACGAAAACCAUUCCGCCUUGUGAGUACGACUGCAAAGUUGAAAACAAAAAAAUUAGUCGGUUUCGGAGCAAACGAAGUGAAGCAUGUUAUUU